rnacentral:rRNA from 1 species
GAUGAACGCUGGCGGCGUGCCUAAUACAUGCAAGUCGAACGCAUAGCGAAAGGUGCUUGCACCUUUCAAGUGAGUGGCGAACGGGUGAGUAACACGUGGACAACCUGCCUCAAGGCUGGGGAUAACAUUUGGAAACAGAUGCUAAUACCGAAUAAAACUUAGUGUCGCAUGACACAAAGUUAAAAGGCGCUUCGGCGUCACCUAGAGAUGGAUCCGCGGUGCAUUAGUUAGUUGGUGGGGUAAAGGCCUACCAAGACAAUGAUGCAUAGCCGAGUUGAGAGACUGAUCGGCCACAUUGGGACUGAGACACGGCCCAAACUCCUACGGGAGGCUGCAGUAGGGAAUCUUCCACAGAGGGCGAAAGCCUGAUGGAGCAAUGCCGCGUGUGUGAUGAAGGCUUUCGGGUCGUAAAGCACUGUUGUAUGGGAAGAACAGCUAGAAUAGGAAAUGAUUUUAGUUUGACGGUACCAUACCAGAAAGGGACGGCUAAAUACGUG